rnacentral:rRNA from 1 species
UACGUAGGGGGCAAGCGUUGUCCGGAUUCAUUGGGCGUAAAGAGCUCGUAGGCGGUUCAGCAAGUCGGGUGUGAAACCUCCAGGCUCAACCUGGAGACGCCACCCGAUACUGCUGUGACUUGAGUCCGGUAGGGGACCACGGGAAUUCCUGGUGUAGCGGUGAAAUGCGUAGAGAUCGGGAGGAACACCAGAGGCGAAGGCGGCGACCUGGACAGAUACUGACACUCAACUACGAAAAGCGUGGGUAGCAAACAGG